UGGAGUAUAGCCGAGUGGUAAGGCAUCGGUUUUUGGUACCGACACGCAAAGAGGUUCGAAUGGCAACUCGAA
rnacentral:tRNA from 1 species